ACUAGCUAACUAGUAACUAGCUGGUUAACAAACGAGCAGACACUGUGAAGUCAGUUUGUGUUACCUGCUCAAACGUGUGCACCGGUAAACUGUCCGCCAGCCGAAAGAGGGGAGGGGAGGGGAAGGGAUGUUGGACCGGAAGGGAUGCGGGACCGGAAGCAGCGGUAACCACGUGUGGAAACAAUCUAGACAGGAAACACACCUGUGAAUACGGUAACGUAACUAGCUUGACUUACCUCAGCACGGCAAACUAGUUCAAACCGUGGCCGUUAGCCAACUGCCGACAGAAUGGAGUCGACUCGAGACUUCAGGGUCUCAGAGGAGCAUACCAAAUGCUGUACAAUCCAGAAGGUGAAGACAACUAAAGAAGGGUCUCCAGACCCCGUCAUGUAGAAACACAAAUGAUCCAGAUGCCAGAAGACUUCAUGACAUCAGCCAAGCAAAACAAAGAUGUCCUCACAUGCUUGCAGUUCAGGGAAGCUGCUCACUGCAGCUGUUCUCUGAAAGGCUUUGGCUGCCAGAUGCUGGGGAUAAUGGACGGAACUGCAUAGGGGAAAGAUGGAGAGGAGUGUGAGUGCGCAGCCAUCCACAGACACGCAAGUUGUGGCAGGCCGGUAGAUGAUGAAGUGAUGGAGAUGUUAGGAGGCCACAGCCAUUGUGAUGCUGGGUGGCUGUUACUCUGGAACUGCCAUCUGCUGAAAAGGUCAGUUGCUAGGGGAUGAUUCUCCUGGACCGUGUCUGCUUCCCAGCUGCCAUCCACACACCCACACACACUGGCUUGAGUAUGCGCACAAACUCACACACACAUUUGUGCCCUUUUUUUUCUUCCUAGAAAUAUAUAAAUUGAAUUUUGAGUAAAUUGGACCUAUUGGACCGACCGCUAUUAAUCCACUUGGUGAUUUUUUUUUUUUAAACUCUGGGUGAGGUUUAAUUGAUUAUAAUCAUUUAUGCAAUAUGUGUGUGUGAUCCGGCUGUGAACUCAUAUCUUAUUGCAUAAUAGCCCUGCGGUCAAUUAAUGGCACCAAAACGACUGCUUCUGAUUGUUAUAGAAGCAGUGUAAGGGUGUUCCUGUCAUAACAAUGCCCUAAUUAAUUGGAACCAAUCAAAAUCUAGGAUUACAAUGAAAUGUCGGGGCAGCACGGAAAUCAAAUCAGUGUUGUGUGCCAGAUCCCAGCCACGCCGCAUUGUCCAUCACAACCACCGAGAGCAGCCUAUCAUUCAGUGCGGUGACCCAAACCCAAUUCUAAAUUCUUUAUCAUACGCCCUUCAAAUUAAAGACAACUCCACCCAACGGGCAAACAUUUUUCCACAAUUUAGCAGGAAUUUUAAUAUGAAGCUGCUGUGCCUUCAUUAUGCCAUAUCAUCUUCUCUGCAUGUUCUCGAGUGAUUGACCACACUGCUGCAUUAUUGUUAGGAGAACAAUGUGGGCCAGUGAAAAACGGUUUCCUUGCUCAAGCUUAAAUCGUGAACACCCUCGCAAAAUUGUUCUAUUAACUUUGGCCCUUUCCUCCUGUUAUGUUGCCCCUGAUGUUAGAGUUCCUGAGUAAUGGUUCUCUGAAGCAGUUUUUCUGAUAUUAUUAGAUUAUCCGGAAAGGAAAUUGACCAUCAUGUAACAAGUAUUAAGCCCGAGGUCCAAAGUGUUUUUGACAUGUCAGCUUAUAAAGUAAAUACUGCUGCGUAAAUGUUGUACUAACAAUGAUAAAGUACACAUUCUGAUCAUGCGCAAGCCACAGCUACAUGUCAGUGUGUUCCUAUCUUGAGAUAUUGGCAAUAAAGUAUCUGGCAAGAUCCAAACCAAAAAUAAGACUCGGCUAUACAAUUUUGUGCCAUCUCCAUAUCAUUUUUAUCCUCCCUGUCACACUUUCCUACUCUCCAUCCACUCCCCCUCCACACGCCCUCACUCGCUUCUCCACUGGCCUUCCAUAGACACUGACUUUGUGUGGUGGAGCGGUUGUUUUUGUUUGUGCCCUUCUUACCAUGGCUGCCUGCUCACCGCCUGGCAGCCCCGUGUGUCAAAGGUGGCUGCAGCAGAACAGACUGUGGGAACAGCCGGUUAGCCUCCCCUGGUCCCUUGUUCCCCAACCAGAGGGGCAACCAUCAAUCCAGCACUCCCCCUGCCCUGCACACACACUGAAGCACAAACACACAAAUGCCCAACCAAACACACACUCACACAAAAAGCCUACAACGCUCACACCGUCUCCCAAUAAUCCUCGGAAGCAAUUUCAUCUCGACUCGGGUGGCGGCCCAUUGUCGCCAGCCCCUUCAAUCUUUCCUUAUUAACUCUCGCUUUGUCCCGCAUCCGAGCUUCUGGACUCAUCUCUCCUACAUUCCGAUCGGAGCUGCUCCCAGCACUCCCAGGCAACCUCCAUUCGCUAAUCCCACUGCCUCCCCCACCAGCCGCCCCACCCCAAGGAACUCUUACUGCUUUUUUUUUUCCAACCUGCCGAUCACCUACUUACAGAGUAAGGUAGGGGCAUUAACUCCAUGGGUUUUCUGAAGGCAGAGUGUGAAGGCGGGGUGGGUGAAGGAGGAGGCGGUCACAAAGUGACUCCAGCCCAGACAAUUAGAACAAUGAGCUGGGCCUGUAGGGGGCUAACUCGCUGCGUCACGCCUGGACGGUGGGGUAUUUUGUCAGUUUAAUGAAUUGUCCGUCAGGCCAGGGCCACAUCGCAGGCUGCGCAGGGAGAGGCCAGCAGGGACCCAGACACUAAGUCGGUAUUUAUUACACUGCCUUUGUCACUAAUUGAGCUAAUUAUCACUGACUCCUCAGCACUCCCACAGGCAGCUCCCCCUCCACUCACUCUCUCCACCGACUCUCCCACCUCACUCUCACGCCUGGGAUUUGAACCCUGUCUUCCCUCUUCAUUUUGAAAUUGUCUGCCUUUUUCUUUUGUUUCUUCCCAUGUAUCUUUGAUGGCCCAUUAUUUUUCUUUCAAGCCGAGUUGCAGUGUGCUUUCGCUGUCUCUGUGCUUGACUUUUUUCUUUAGUCACAUCAUACUGUGUUUUAGUUCUUCCAUCAAUGAUCUUCUAUGAUAAAAGAUAGAAAAUUUGUUUUGUAGACUAGCUCUCAUAUUUCUGUUUUUAUUGGUUGGUCACCCCUAAUUUGCGGUAUUUUGGUUCAAUUUGUUCUCUGUAUUAUCUUGAUUCCUUCAUCUUAAAAUGAUAUACUUCUCAAUUUAUCACUUAACCUUUUGGAGUAAUUUUAUGGCACAAGCCAAGCAGCCCCUUGUCACCCUGCACUUUUACUAAAGUCAUGACUGAUUCAGAAGAUUUCUCAUCCCUGACCUCGGUCCUGCUGUAUGUCACCCUGUCUGUUGGGUGUGUGCUGGUGGCAUCACUGUGCCUCCACCGUGCUCUGUCUGGAUGACCCUGGAUGCUCCUGUGCUGUGGUGGGCCUGAGAGAGAGUGUAGCGCUUUCCAAACUCCCGGGGUUAGUCAGGUUGCCAGGGGUUGGGGGAGCAUUCUUUCUCACAUUAUUUCUUUCCGACAUUAAACAAAUUAAUCAAAACAUUCAAUGCAGUAAAAUCCUGUAUGAAAUAAGGUAUGUGGCUGGAUAAAGCCGGGGCCGUCUCUGUGGUUGGGAGCACAGAUGCAGGGAUGUUUUGUGAGCUGGGGAAAGAGUCUGCUUUGGUGAUGGUAAUAGGAUUAAGCAGUGGACACCCAGGGAUAGGCUUAUAUGUUCACUUUGUUGGUUGUCAAAACUAUCUCAAACAAAAACCACAACAGGCAUAAUAGCAUCUUUUGACACAUUCAGGAGGGCAACUUAAUUGAAAAUAUAGACUUUAUUGUUCUAUCAUACAAUACAAAACCAACUGGAACCUAAAUCUUUGAUUAAAAUCUAAAAAUGUCUUCUCUUACAUCUCUAUAUAAAAGUAUAAAAAAAUACCCAGAAAUAAAUAUUUCAUAUUUACAGUAAUAUAAAAGGUAGAUAUUCAGUGCAUGACCAAACACAAGUAUUUUUUUUUACAGGAAACGAGCAAAGAAGUGAUAACGUUCUGUUUCUAGUAAGAGUCGGUUUUGUGUCAGCGACAUUACACCAAAAUAGAAAAGGGCAUGAGAUGAAAACAGCUCCUGACUUGACACUAAUGCUGCGUUCGCACCAAGCGCGAUGCAGAUUUAUUGUGCGGUGAGAUUACAUACAAAGUCAAUGCAAAGGCACGAGUAGACGCAAAUAGCAUGUUCUCCAGCCACUUACGUGCAUAAAUCAUACAGCAAACUUACAAGAGACAUCAUUAUAAAUAUAUUUUUAUGUUUUAAUAUUUACAGUAUUUUGGUUCUCUUAGCUGAUGAUUUCUUCUGUGGAGGCUACUUCAAAUUAAAACGUUUUAACUGAGCCUGACAUGAUACACAUUUCCCUACUUUAAACCUGGACUGCUUUAUUGACCAAGAAUUUAGUGUAUUUUUGUUACUUCAAUGUGUAUCUGAUUUGUUUUUGUUUUUUAUGUUGACCCCUCUGUUUUGUCAAACUACAUGUAGUCAUGCCAUGAUAUUCAGUGUAUUGAUAAUACAUUCAAAUGAAUUUGCCUCGGUAAGAUUUGUUCAGUCAGUUUCUAUUUUACUUGGCGAGUACUGGUACCAGUCUUUUAACAUCAGGACCUUCCUGAUGGUCAGUCAGAGGCAAAUCAGGAUUUUCCACUCCAGAAAAUCUCAACAAAAAGGACCAAUGUGGUGAAGAAUUAUAAGUGGUUGUGCCGCGUCCAGGACCAAAGUACACAAUUGGGGAACAGAGAGCCCAUCCCUGGAAAUUAGCUUCACUCAGAUUCACACGAAAAAAGAAACUUCAGCAAAACAAAAUACAUUUUAAAUAAAUUCCCUCCUGUUUGAGGUCUUCACCAGUUUAUGAGAGAACAUGUUUGUGGCUCUUAUUUUGACAAAAACAUCUCUGAAUCAUCAUGUCCUCAGUGGUGGAGAAGAGGUUUUUCUAGCUGUACCUGGUUACAGGUACUACUAGAUAUAAUGUUCUACCUGUAACCAGGUGCUACUAGACAUCUCUGUAUCAUUAUGUCUCCUUACUUCUAUUUCUAUUUGUCCACAGUGUGUAAACACUUAGGUGAUUGUGGAUGAUUUCCCUUCUACAUGGAGGAUCGUACUGUGUAAAUAUCCUCUUUAUAUUGUUAGGCAUCCAAGGCAAGGAGCACAUAUACUCCCUCUAUGACCUGUUCAUGUAUUUGUGCUUUUCACCAUCUCCUCCUCACAAAAACACUGAGUUUUUUGUGUUAAAGUUUUCCCUGUUUACCUCAGAUUACCCCCCUGGAAGCAUCUCUAGCUUCUACCUAACCUCUCAAACCACCUGCCAUCAGCCAAGCUACCUGUUCUACUAAAAAGUUCUUCUUUUUCCCUCAAAUAGGCCUAAUAUUCACUGGGUUUGUCCACCAGUGAUCAUAGACACUCGUGUAACGUCCGUGUGCUGGUGCAGUUCAAGCAGCUGACAUGGCAGCACCAGUGGAAGGUGCAGUUGCAGCGUUCAGUCACAGUCUCAGUCCGGGUCUUAAACCCACGUCCACAGCACAGCAGCUCACAUCCAUCGAGGCCCGGAGAAGAGCUGUUGCAUGUUCUCCCAGAAGUUCCCAAAGUGCCAGUUUUGCCGUUGUAGGAGCAGAAAUUUGGAGAUUUCUCAAAAUAGACCAGGUCCAUGGCAGAGGGGGGUUUGUGUGCUGGGUUUUCAGGUUCCAGGUGGCGGGGGUCAGCUCUGUGAGAGGCACGGUUGCUUCCCUUGUUGGCGUAAACAACUCUGGAUGCUCCAUCAAACCGGUCCUUAAGGAAGUCUCCCACUGUGCGGAAGCUGGGCAGGCGCAUCCAACAGGUCGCUGCUGUAUAGACGAGAGGAAUGCAGGCUACAGCAUUAGAUCAACACCACCAUGGCCCCAAGAGGUUGAACAGAAGUUGUGAGCGGCGCCAAAACGAACACAUUAUGUCGAGCACGCACGCGCUGACUGCGCGUGUCUCCUGAGAGACAAGAGGAGGGGGAUGCUGAUAAGGGAGCGGGUGCAUCAUCACAUGAGAGGCCUGCAGUGAACUCACCACCACCGGCCGCUGUUGUUCACGGCCCCUGUGCCCGACAGCGAAGACACCAGCAGGAUGCAGGCGGCUUUCACGCCCAGCAGCAGCGCCAGACUCCUCAUCGUGUCUUCGGGGGCAAAAUGUCACAUUUCAACGUAUUAUUAUUAUUAUUAUUAUUAUUCAGCUUUUUUUGUCACGUGUUUUUGUCUAAACAAAGUUGUAAACAUCUUCGACACUAACAUGACUUUUUAUUGACUUUUUUUUUUUUUUUUUUUAAAGAGUAAAAUAACUAAAAUGAUCAAUCAGCCUUAAGAAACAAGACCAAAAUACACAGUCUGGCAGUAGGCUAAGUAUUUUUCUACAUCUCAGUGACUUAUUUAUUCGUGAUCAUUUUUAAUUUCAGUAAAUUAAUUUGACGUUGAGUGAUUACAAUAACCACGCUGCAAGGUGGAUAUAUAUAUUUAUAUAUAUAUGUAUAUAUACUCACCACGCCA